ACUGGGGACAGAGCUGAGCGCGCCUGCAGCCAGCUCGGAGCCGAUGCUACCCCCUUCCUGGAGUCUCGCCCACUCGCACUUGGACAGUUUUCUCUGUGAUCUAAAUUCUUUACUCUAAUUUCAUGGCAGGACAAAUUCACCUGGUUCACAGGUGAUACACACUGAUCCCCGAGUCGGCCAGUCCAAAUUCCUCACCCACUAAACCCAGCUUGCAGUGUUACUCUAGUUCUUCACUUGAAUGUCUAAAGUUUAGAGCCGUGAACACCAACUAGAAAGCAGGCAAAUCAGUAUUACACUUUCAAGAGAUUGAUUUUCAUAUUUCUUUUUUUUUCAACAAAGCUGAGAGCCCAUCACUCAUUAUCCAACCUUUCAGUUAAUUACAAUAUUAACAAUAGGUGACUACUAACAUGUUCCACUUAUAGCAGUUCAGAAACAAAAGAUGAAAAACCUCUGCCCCUAAAGAGUUCCUAUCUGACCAAAACAGACUAACAGACAUCCUGUUAUUUAAUUUAUAACCCACAUCAGGCUAAGGAAUAAACGUUGGAGGGGAAGGGGUAAAUGAUUUUAAAAAGCAUUUAAAACUUACCAUCAACCCGAACAUAUAAAAAUCCACAGAGCAGUAGUGGUGUAAACAUCAGCAGACUCAUUUUGACAUAUUAAAAAGGAUCCAGAUUGUUUAAGAAACCAAUCCCAGAGAGAAAACUACAAAAAUAAGUAUCAAAAAAAGAGGUAGUUCCGAAGUUUAGUCUUUCCUAGAUACUAAUUAGUCAAGAAGAGCAAAUCUCAAGAUCAGAAGGGGUUGGUGGAGAGGUCUUGAAUAGCGCACAUUUAGAUCCAUCCAAAUUAACGGAGGGCACUUCAAAGGCUGCUGUAUUUCCACUCUGGCUUCCUAAAUUCCCACAAAUUCACCCCAGGCGGAGGGAUUAUUCAAGUGUGUCUAACCCUCUCUCCUUAGGCUCCAUUGCAAUCCAAAGCCAAGUUCUUUCUUCACAAGUCAAGAAGAUGACGGGGGAGGAAAAAGACCUAAUUCCUAGAAAGUAUUCCACAAACUUGCCAGCGCGCUGCAGAAAAACCAUUGGCCUGCCUACUGCUUUUCGGUCCCGUCUCCUCUCCGUAGCAGCAACACGUCCCGGAGAUGAUGCAAGAAGAAGGAAGGCCCAGACAGACCCUGAAACUUCCUAGGGCAACUAAGUAGCGACUGAGUUAAGACAAGAACACCAAAUCCACAGCCCAGUUGGAACACUUGGUUGAGACACUGCCUCUAAUAGAAAGCAUUCUGUCUGACAUUUAAUUGUUUCAUCAUUAACAUGUGAGCCCUUUUCCUGCUGCUAUGGUUUGAAAAUUCAUGUGUUAAAAUUGAAUGGCUAAUGGGAUAGUGUGGAAUGUGAGAUAUCUGGGAAGUGAUUAGGUCAAGAGGGCACUUUUGAAUGGGAUUAAGGCCCUUAUUAAAGAGCCUUCUCACAUUGUUCAGACUAUAUCACUCCUUCCUUUCCUUCCAACAUGUGAGGAUGCACCAUUACUCCCAUUGGGAGUAAGCAGCAAUAAGGUACCAAUCCUGGAAGCCAAGAGAGCAGCCCUCUCCAAGUAACCAAAACUGCCAGUGCCUGAAUGCUGGACUUCUCAGCCUCCAGAACUGUGAGAAAUAAACUUCUGUUCUUUAAAAGUAUUCAGCCUCAAGCAUUUUGUUAGACAUUUGCUGUG
rnacentral:lncRNA from 1 species